GGAUUUCUCUGUGUAGCCCUGGCUGUCCUGGCACUCUCUCUGUAGACCAGGCUGGCCUUGAUCUCAGAGAUUCACCUGCCUCUGCCUCCAGAGUGCUGAGACUAAAGGCAUGCCCUACCACUCCCAG
rnacentral:miRNA from 1 species